rnacentral:lncRNA from 1 species
CCUGUUUUUACGAUUAAUCCUGAGAAGCGCUACACUACAGUAACGCAAGAGUUAGCACGUGCUGGGUCACGUGUGUAAAUACCGUUACAGCGAGCGUUUUAACCACGCCCAUUUCGAAUCUUUGUAUUUACAUUUUAACGUUCGUAACGGUCGAUCGUCACGAUUUUUCUUAUUUGCGCUGCUCUCUCAGUUUUGUUCGGGUCACGUCCAUUCCUCACGUAUUUUUCUGCUCUUUUAAUUACGCCACAUUUGCUCUUGACACAAACCACAGUCUCGGUCCCCGGUGACGCGAAACUGCGGAUUUUGAAAAAAUUUUUCAUUUCGGCGCGAUUCCAGCGACACUCAACACGGAGAAAAUGAGUUCUCUGCUCCAGCAACGAGAAGAGGGUCGCCACUUUUUUGGCGAUGAUUUUCCAGUGAUAAUGAGUGAAGACGAAGAGUCUUUAAAUGAGACAACAGAUGGCUGGCAGGAGCCUCAAGAAGACAGCAGCAGUGCCCACGUGGCUUCUGGGGACCUCACUGAAUGGAAGCCUGUCGACUGCUCAGAGAGUGGCGCCGUCUCCCGUACUGCCGCACCGCUCGCUGAGAGCGGAGGGACCCAGGAGUCAGUCAAGAACUCCCUGACUGACUCUGUGAACCAUGUGUGGCAGCACUGCUAUGAUACCUCGGAAAAUACGCCAAAUUGCAGUUACCGUUUGAGAUCUCACGCAGAUGAGAAGCUAUACGUGUGUCUCGUGUGCUCUAAGUGUUUUUGCACCCGGAGCCAGCUCACUCGCCACUAUCAAGCAUGUAUCUUCGCCGAUUCGGAACAAUAUGACAAACAUGCUGCUACAGAGCUGAAGAGUGAGUCUGAGGAGUCUUCUCCUAGCUCUGACUCAUGCUCGCCAUUAAUGCUGAAGUACACCUGCCAAAUAUGCUUUUAUGCUACUGGUAGUUUGGCACAUUUUAAUUGCCAUUUAAGAACACACAGGGGUGAGAAACCAUACAUGUCUCGUACCUGGAGCCAUCUGAUCCGACACAUUCGGACGUGCAACUAUAGAGACCUCUCCAGUCUUGCUUUAAAGAUGCAGAAGUGUGAGUUUUGCAAGUACGCCACUAAUUCCCCAUAUAACUUAGGGGUCCACAAGCGAAUCCAUGCAGGCCAGCAAUGUGCACUGGCAGUGGUUCAUAACAUAGAAUCGGAAGUACUGAAAGUGGACAUCUAAAUGUAUUCUAAACUUGAACUGCAAAAAGAAGACAACUGUAAUGUCCAUGGUAGCACUGAGCGCUUUUUAAAUAUUUGCAUUUGUAUUUUGGUUCAUGUAUUAGUUUUAAUACUUGGCAAUUUCAAACUGGACCACUGCCAGUAUACUGACUAUUAUGAAUUUUUUGCUGUAUAUGACUCCUUUAAAGUCAGUGAAAGUGUCUUAUAGUUGCUUGCUUAGUAUUUCUGAUUUUUUCUUUUAUGUCAUGACAUAAAAACUUCUCUGUUUUUCC